CGAUCGGGAGGCCUCUGGUGGGACAGGGGCCGGGAAUGGAUCGCCCCGCCCUCUCGGAUGGCCGCGGCGCUGAUGCCCGACAGCGCCCGUG
ncrna:unclassified sequences Rhodo-rpoB RNA